rnacentral:lncRNA from 1 species
CGAUACUGAAAGUCUUCCUCAUGAUGUCACAUAGCGUAUGGAACACUGGAGCGCAGUAAGCCACCGCCGCAUGAGUUCCACAAGCCCUGACCGUGCCUCGCGCUGUCUGCACAAGGCACUGAGCGAGACACUUAAUCUGAGAGGCUCCUAGGGCCGCCGCUUUGGAACAACAGAAACUCGCUCUCCCGCAGUUCUGGAGGCUACCGUUCCGCGAUCACGGGGUCCCGCAAAGGCGCCACACUUGGGAGGCAGCGUAGAGUGGCACAGCUCUGCCACCACUUGGCAUCACCCCUGCAGCCUCAGCGCCCUUGUGGGUGAAGCAGAGAGAAUCGUGUGACCAUGUCGAAGAGUCUGCUCUCCGAGAGAUGAAUGGUCAUCAAUCCAAUGGCACUCCCGUUAACUCUGCAGAGUACCAGGCUCCUCCUACGUGUUUAUAACUCCUCCUCCCUCUACUGACUGUAUCUUGUUCCCUCCAUCUCUUCUAUUGAAAUUCCACCCACUAAUAAUAAUAAUAAUAAUAAUAAUAAUAAAAAUCCGGAUCAAAGGAAACUUCCUCCUCCACACCACACAGAAUUCCCUCCACCCUCUGUGCUCACUUUAUUGGCACAUACAGUAGAGCACUUAUCACAGUUUCCCCUAGGCUAUAGCUGUGUGUGGCCGUGUCUUAAGUCCCUGGAGACAGUGACUUCCAUCUUAUUCUAUAGAGCCACCCAAGCACCGAGUCUUCAACACAACAGGUGUUCAGUCGAUAUUUGCUAAAUAUAUGUUAAGUGAAGAAAUGAAUUAGAUUCCCUGAGAUAACCAUGGGGACUUGGCCAGAUUAAGUCUGAGGUCCGAGAGCCAAGAGCUCUCCAAGUGGAUUUGGACUCAGCCAAGGAGAUCGCAGGUGCUAUCAAUAAUGCUAAUGAGCAAUAAUAACAUUGAUUGAGUGCCUACUGUAUGCCCCGUGCUGUUCUAAACUAUCUACAGAGUAUGCUCUGGGAUCUUCACAACUGGCCCACGACAUUAGUUCUGCCUGCAUCUCUAGGUUCCAGCCAAGCCCUGGGAGGACUUGGGGCUUCCGUCCAAGAUCGAAGCUGGCCGGUGACGGGGGAGGGCAGCUGCAUCAGGCGAGCUGGCUCCCACAGCAGCAGGCCCAGAAGCAAGAAUUGGCUGAGAGUGUUGGCCUGUUGA